UUCUAAUAUGGCAGAAUAGUGCAAUGGACUUAAACCCCAUGAAUAAAGGCAACUUUUUUUAGAAA
rnacentral:tRNA from 1 species